GGUCGGUUAGCUCAGUUGGUUAGAGCGGUAUGUAACAACAAGUGGUGUAAUUUCGCCGUUCUAAAAAUUACUAACUUCUCCUAGUCGUACUAAUAAUGCGAAGGUCAUGAGUUCGACCCUCAUACUGACCA